GACGAACGCUGGCGGCGUGCUUAACACAUGCAAGUCGAGCGGAUCGGCGAACUGGUGAGUAACGCGUGAGUAACUGCCCCCCUCUCUCGGAGAACAGUUGGACACGGCUGCUAAUACCGGAUAGUGGGGGAUGACUCGCGGCCUAUCAGCUUGUUGGUGGGGUAGUGGCCUACCAAGUCGACGCCGGGUAGCCGGCCUGCGAGGGCGACAGGCCACAUUGGGCUGAGAUACUGCCCAGAGUCCUACGGGAGGCAGCAGUGAGGAAUAUUGCACAAUGGGGGAAACCCUGAUGCAGCAACGCGCGUGCGGGAUGACGGCCUUCGGGUUGUAAACCGCUUUCAGCCAUGACGCGGUAGUGGCAGAAGAAGCACCGGCUAACUACGUGCCAGCAGCCGCGGUAAUAC
rnacentral:rRNA from 1 species